rnacentral:misc_RNA from 1 species
UUAAGAGCCAAUUAACAUAGCAAAUAGUUGUCCUUGAAUAAAUUCAGUUGAUUGAUUUGAUCUAUAAGCUGGCAAAAUGUCUGAAAGGGACUCAAGAAGUCUUUGACAUUGAUCUAACAAUCGACAUUUCCAAUUUUUUAAAAUAUGCAUUUCUUUGUUUUCAUUGCCUAAUGUUACAGCCAGCAUUACUAUAGUGUUUAGUACAAAGGGUUUGCUAGCAUGUUCCUUUCAUGAUAAACAUGAAUCUAAUCCUAAUCACUUAAAAGAUUUGAACUUUUAGUGCUUUCUUCCACAACAUGAUGAUGAAAAGAAUUAAAAAAAUAAAGUGUGAUUGAAUAACUUUAUUUUGAGGAACAAUUAGCCUAUGAUAUGAGAAUUGCUGACAAUAAAUUUGGGAUUAAAUAGAUGAUGUGUAAGAAGUGAAAAUACUAAAGUAGAUUUAAGUGAUUUCAUGGGAAGUUAAGAGGUAUUACAUUUCCAUAUUGAUAACAGUGAUGAAAAAGUGCAAGAGAAUAAAUUCUAUAUUGCAGCAAAAAUUAUAAGGGCAAGGCAUGUGUCAGUAAAAUUUCCAUCUCCAAUCAUGUCAUGUAAGUUUCCAGUAAUAAGAACUCAAUAUGAUCUUUUAAGCAAAGUCCAAAGCACAAAAUGGUCCAGUGAUUUUGUACCAUGUCUAUGAUUCUGUUUCUAACUUGUUCACAAGUGUGAUAUGAGUAUAUGAUAGUCUGCAAUCUGUUAUGUAUCCCAUGCCAGUUAACAAUGAUAUUUACGCUAUUUACGCCUUCCCCUCUUUCCUUUUUGACCCAUUUUUG